rnacentral:rRNA from 1 species
GAUGAACGCUGGCGGCGUGCCUAAUACAUGCAAGUCGAGCGAAUGGAUUGAGGGCUUGCUCUUAUGAAGUUAGCGGCGGACGGGUGAGUAACACGUGGGUAACCUGCCCAUAAGACUGGGAUAACUCCGGGAAACCGGGGCUAAUACCGGAUAACAUUUUGAACCGCAUGGUUCGAAAUUGAAAGGCGGCUUCGGCUGUCACUUAUGGAUGGACCCGCGUCGCAUUAGCUAGUUGGUGAGGUAACGGCUCACCAAGGCAACGAUGCGUAGCCGAACUGAGAGGGUGAUCGGCCACACUGGGACUGAGACACGGCCCAGACUCCUACGGGAGGCAGCGGUAGGGAAUCUUCCGCAAUGGACGAAAGUCUGACGGAGCAACGCCGCGUGAGUGAUGAAGGCUUUCGGGUCGUAAAACUCUGUUGUUAGGGAAGAACAAGUGCUAGUUGAAUAAGCUGGCACCUUGACGGUACCUAACCAGAAAGCCACGGCUAACUACGUGCCAGCCGCCGCCGUAA